UUGGUUGAUCCUGCCAGUAGCAUAUGUUUGUCUCAAAGAUUAAGCCAUGCAUAUCUAAGUAUGCAGAGCAGGUACAGUGAAACUGCAAAUGGCUCAUUAAAUCAGUUAUGGUUCCUUUGAUUGCUUGUUCCUCUUCUACUUGAAUAACUGAUAAUCUUAGCGAUAAUCCAUGCCUAUGGGCACUGACUCUCUUUGCGUGAUGUGUGGUGGGGGGAAAUCCAUGAAUUUAUCAGGCCAAAACCAACCUGGUCAGCCUCCUCCCCUCACUCCCUGGCCCCAGCUGGCAGGGGGAGGGGGUUGGCUUUGGAGACCCUAGAUAAUCUCAGGCCAAUCACAUGGCCCUGUGGCAGCAACAACUCCUUCGAAUGCCUGCCCUAUCAACUUUCAAUGGUAGUCACUGUGCCUACCAUGGUGACCAUGAGUGAUGGGGAGUCAGGGUUCAAAUCUGGAGAGGGAGUCUGAGAAAUGGCCUCCACAACCAAGGAAGGCAGCAGGCAUGCAAAUUACCCACUCCGUUCCCAGUGAGGUAGUGAUGAAAAAUAACACUACAGAACUCUUUCGAGGCCCUGUAAUUGGAAUGAGUCUACUUUAAAUCCUUCCACGAGGAUCCAUUGGAGGGCAAGUCUGAUGCCAGCAGCCAUUGUAAUUCUACCUCCAAUGGCAUAUAUUAAAGUUGCUGCAGUUAAAAAGCUCAUAGUUGGAUCUUGGGAGUGGGCAGGCUGUCUGCAACAAGGCGAGCCACCACCGGUCCUACACCUUGCCCCUCAGCACCCUCUUGAUGCUCUUAGCUUAGGUGCCCCAUGGGGCCCUAAGCAUUUACUUUGAAAAAAAUUAGAGUAUUCGAAGCAGGCCCAAGCCUCCUGGAUGCCACAGCUAAGAAUAAUGGAAUAGGACCAUGGUUCUACUUUGUUGGUUUUCAGAACUGAGGCCAUGAUUAAGGACAGCCAGGGACAUUCAUAUUGCACCACUAGAGGUGAAAUUCUUGGACCAGUACAAGAUGGACCAGAGCAAAAGCAUUUGCCAAGAAUGUUUUCAUUAAUCAAGAACAAAAAUCAGAAGUUUGAAGACAAUCAGAUGCUGUCAUAGUUCCAACCAUAAACGAUACCAACUGGAGAUGUGGUGACGUUAUUCCCGUGACCCACCAGGCAGCUUCCGGGAAACCAAAGUCUUUGGAUUCUG
rnacentral:ncRNA from 1 species